rnacentral:rRNA from 1 species
AAUAUGCCUUUUGGUGGGGGACAACAGUUGGAAACGACUGCUAAUACCGCAUGAUGUCUACGGACCAAAGUGGGGGACCUUCGGGCCUCACGCCAAGAGAUUAGCCCAAGUGGGAUUAGCUAGUUGGUAAGGUAAUGGCUUCCAAGGCGACGAUCCCUAGCUGGUUUGAGAGGAUGAUCAGCCACACUGGGACUGAGACACGGCCCAGACUCCUACGGGAGGCAGCAGUGGGGAAUAUUGCACAAUGGGCGCAAGCCUGAUGCAGCCAUGCCGCGUGUGUGAAGAAGGCCUUCGGGUUGUAAAGCACUUUCAGUAAGGAGGAAA